CUAGUGUCACAAUUUCUUUCUCUCUCAAAGCUUUUUGCGGUCUGGGCUUGCUGUUCUCAAUCAAAGUAUCCAGGAAGCCCUUAUCCCAAAAAGAAUUUGCGAGGGAGGAUUUUCUUCUGACUCUCU
rnacentral:pre_miRNA from 14 species